rnacentral:rRNA from 1 species
AUUGAACGCUGGCGGCAUGCCUUACACAUGCAAGUCGAACGGCAGCACGGGUGCUUGCACCUGGUGGCGAGUGGCGAACGGGUGAGUAAUACAUCGGAACAUGUCCUGUAGUGGGGGAUAGCCCGGCGAAAGCCGGAUUAAUACCGCAUACGAUCUACGGAUGAAAGCGGGGGACCUUCGGGCCUCGCGCUAUAGGGUUGGCCGAUGGCUGAUUAGCUAGUUGGUGGGGUAAAGGCCUACCAAGGCGACGAUCAGUAGCAGGUCUGAGAGGACGACCAGCCACACUGGGACUGAGACACGGCCCAGACUCCUACGGGAGGCAGCAGUGGGGAAUUUUGGACAAUGGGCGAAAGCCUGAUCCAGCAAUGCCGCGUGUGUGAAGAAGGCCUUCGGGUUGUAAAGCACUUUUGUCCGGAAAGAAAUCCUUGGCCCUAAUACGGUCGGGGGAUGACGGUACCGGAAGAAUAAGCACCGGCUAACUACGUG